UGAGGUCAACAUCAAAUAACAAUACAGCAUCCAAAAAUACACCAGGACCAUAAAGGAAAUAUUUCAUUCAAUAUCCAUUUCCUUUGUUAUAAAAAGCAUUCUCCUCAGUGGAAAGAAAGAUAAACAAUACAAAUAAAUCAACAGCAUUUGCUAGUUGAUGAAUCACUACAAAACUCUCUCUUUUGCAAAUUAGCUAAUUGAACUUCCUUUUUUGCAAAUUAGCUGAGUGAACUUUCUUUUGUGCAAAUUAGCUAAGUGAUCAACAUAAAAAUUCAGACUACUCCACAGGCAUAAGAAAGUAUGUUAACAGCAGUUGCCAGUUGACUUCCCUUCUGAAUCAUUGCAAAAGUUAUUUCAUCCAAGUUAACUGAAUGAUCCACAUAAUUUAGACUAUUCAUAAAGAAAAAGGAAAACCAAAUACAGCACUAAGACCAUUUUA
rnacentral:misc_RNA from 1 species